GCCGGGCGCGGUGGCGUGUGCCUGUAGUCCCAGCUACUCAGCAGGCUGAGGUGGGAGGAUCGCUUGAGUCCAGGAGUUCUGGGCUGUAGUGCGCUAUGCCGAUCAGGUGUCCGUACUAAAUUCAGCAUCAAUAUGGUGACCUCCUGGGAGCGGGGGACCACCAGGUUGCCUAAGGAGGGGUGAACCCGCCCAGGUAGGUCAAAACUCCUGUGCCGAUCAGUAGUGGGACUGCACCUGUGAAUAGCCACUGCGCUCCAGCCUGGGCAACAUAGUGAGACCCUGUCUCU
rnacentral:SRP_RNA from 1 species